rnacentral:rRNA from 1 species
AUUUCAAUUUAUUAUUAUUUAAUAUGUAAAUAUUACAUUAAAAAUUUAUUUGCAGUUUUUAGUUUUAAAACAUUAUUUAAGUAAGUUUUAGUAAUUAAUUAUAGAUUUAAUAAAAUUUGUGCCAGCAAUUGCGGUUAUACAAAUAAUUCAAUUGAAAUUUAUUGGUUAAUAAUUAAUUUGUUUUAAUUAAUUUAUUAUUAAAAUUUUUAAGUGAAAUUUAAAUUUUAAUAUAAUUUUUUUGUUUAUAUUUGAAGUUAUUAAAAUUAAUAUUAAACUAGGAUUAGAUACCCUAUUAUUAUAAUUGUAAAGUUUAAAUACCAGAUUAGUAUUAGUUGUUUUCUUAAAAAUUAAAGGAUUUGGCGGUAUUUUAGUCUAUUCAGAGGAACCUGUCCUGUAAUCGAUAAUCCACGAUUAGAAUAACUUUUCUUUUUCUUGUAUAUCGUUGUUUUUGAAUAUUUUAUAAGAAUUUAAAUUUUCAAUAAGUAUAUUUUAGUUAAUUUCAGAUCAAGGUGCAGUUUAUAGGAAAGAAGAUGAUGGGUUACAUUAAAUUUAUUUUUGGUUUAAUAUUUUGAAUAAUAUUAUUAAAUUGGAUUUGAUAGUAAUAUUUUAUAUAUUUAUUAUAUGAUUUUAGCUCUAAAAUGUGUACAUAUUGCCCGUCGCUCUCAUUUAUUUGAGAUAAGUCGUAACAAAGUAGAUUUACUGGAAA